rnacentral:rRNA from 1 species
UUUGAUGGCGACCGGCGCACGGGUGAGUAACACGUAUCCAACCUGCCGAUGACUCGGGGAUAGCCUUUCGAAAGAAAGAUUAAUACCCGAUGGCAUAGUUCUUCCGCAUGGUAGAACUAUUAAAGAAUUUCGGUCAUCGAUGGGGAUGCGUUCCAUUAGGUUGUUGGCGGGGUAACGGCCCACCAAGCCUUCGAUGGAUAGGGGUUCUGAGAGGAAGGUCCCCCACAUUGGAACUGAGACACGGUCCAAACUCUACGGGAGGCAGCAUG